GCUCCCGUAGCUCAGCUAGGAUAGAGCGUCGGAUUCCUAAUCCGCAGGUCGCAGGUUCAAAUCCUGCCGGGAGUA
rfam:Candidatus Entotheonella sp. TSY1 genomic scaffold TSY1_scaffold00709, whole genome shotgun sequence.